AGGCGGCGGGAAUCAAAAUAUGGAGGCAUCAAAAUAUUGAUUCUAGUGGGCGGAGCUUUGACCAUAUAUGGGCAUAGAAUCAAUAUUUUGAUUCAAUUUGGGACAUUCCCACCUUCAGACGACCCGUUACGGCGGAAAUAACCCCCAUGACGGCGAGAUUUUUUGACAAGUCAAAACAAAAAACUUCCCCGCUUCAAUUUUUCGCUGCAUGGCUAUCAGCCGUUUGUCGCGCGUACCUUUACGAAUGGCAUAAAGAUUUCGCCGCCAUAAUUCAACAAAAACGUGCUGUUAAAACUUGCUCUGUUUAUCAUUAACGACGAGCCUUUGUAAUUUUUUCAUAAUUUUGUCUAAAAGAAAAUAAAAAAUGCGUUAUUUAGUUGUAUAAUUCAUUUAUAAGAAAUAUUCUUUUUCUUUGUAUCUAGCCACGAUUUCCGGUUCCCGCCAUUUCGCGCCGGCGUCGUGGGUGUGUGGAUGCAACGUAGUGCUCCCGGUUUUAUUUUGUCUAAGCGACCUUUUCUGAAGUGUCAACCAAGGAUCAAACACUGGUCGUUGCGGGGAUCGGCUUCAGAGGGCCAAGGAUGGCGUCUUGAAUCGCUGUUCAGUCGACAGGCAACUGUAUGACAACGCCAUCCCUGUCAACCAGAGCGUCGACCGAAGUAGGGCGGCGUUGCGCGGACCUGGCCGCACCCGACCAACCGGCGGAGUACCUGACUCGGGCUGGGCGGAGACUACCUACAUCACGACCUUUUGAACUUUGAUCUCGUGGCGAGAAACAAUAUGACGUAAGGAAGUGUGUAUGUGGCUGGCGGGGCCGAAGGUAAAAUGCGCCACGUGUUUAUCCUGCCGGAUGACGACAGCGUCACCAACCUGUCAAAGAACGAGCUGGUGCAGCGCGUGAUGACUGCUAUCUCGUCCCUAGAACCGGAGUAGAAAAACGUGCGCAUAGCCCAGAUGAAGCGAACCAAAACACAGACAGGACUGAUAGCUUUUCGGUCGAGAAUGUUCUGAAGAUGCUGAUCAGUAGACCAAUUGGUGACCGUUUUCGGUGGUAAUAUGGGAUCUUGUGGUGUUCCAAAGCGACCUGCUUUGGGUGUGGACAUAAGUGGCUCAACCUGACAGGAUUGAUGUUUUAGGUAGCCGUGCUAAUCAUAAACCCUAUAUUGAGUGUAUCUGUACAAAUUUUGUUUAUAUUUAUUUCAUGUAUUUGAUUCGAAACCGAAAAUUGCUGUUUGUAAUUAGGCAACAUCGAGACGUUGAGGUCAUUCUCCAGACGUUUAUUUGUUUUUUUCUCACCUGUCCACGGUAUGUCUUAUUGGUUAGGUCUCAGUUUCAAAUAUUAUUAACUGCAUGUUUUGCAAAUACGUAGCCAUAUUGAAUAAGAGACGUGUUCUAAAAGUGAGUAUUGCUUUGCAUGGGAUGUGAGCAUCAACGACAGGGCUUUGUGAUGGCAAAUAUGUGGCAAUUGCAGGGAUCGUUGUGAAAUGUGUUAUGAAUAUCCUCGUAUUAUUUGCGAAUGCAAAUACAUCCGUGUAUCAUAUUUUCA
rnacentral:lncRNA from 1 species